AUGAUCCACUCCACGCUGUGCACCACUAGGCCUGGUGAUACAAGAGCUCCUGAGAAGGACCCACUCUAAAGCUCUCAGAUGGUGCCUGAUGACCAGCAAGGCCUGUGAUCGAUUUGGUUGCCUGGAGCCCAUGUUGAUUUGAGAUUUCAACAGUUCUGAACUUGCUGCAUCCAGCCCAGCCAGGGCUCUGCAGGGAUCCUGGGGUUUCAUUCCCUCUCCUGAUCCUGACGACUGAGCUGAAAGAGCAGGGAAGAGUCCCUAUAGCCUUGAGAGACAGAGCUUGAGACAUCCCGCUUGAGGUGCUGGAGAUGAUCUUCCCUGCCUUGGACUCAAGGAGGUGAGAGCACCCUGAUGUGAGACCUUGGGCAAUCAGGUGAACCUGGAAAUCACAGACACACACCGGUUUGGGUUGGAAGGGACCUUAAAGCUCACCCAGUCCCAACCCUUGCCACCUUCCACUAGAGCAGGUUGCAUCCAACCUGGCCUUGAACACUCCACUAGUUUUAAAUCAUAACUGCACCAUGAAACUUGAGCAACGUAGCUUUGUAAAGCUCCCUCUCUGUCUUAUUUCACUCAGUCAAGACAUAACCCUUAGACCUUAUUGCCAUUAAUGUGGGGUCUGGAUAAAGUGGAGGUUUCAAGCAGGGACACAAAACCAUCCUCAUUCCCAUCCUACCCCCAGCUCUAACAGCAGGAAGUGUUGAGGAUGAGGAGGAGAGCAAACCCCCACAUGGGUUGGGUUGGUUUUCUGAGUGACCCCAUCAACAGCAGAGUAGAACAAGAAGUUGGAGCUGUUUAGGAACUUCCCUGCAUUAUUUCCUGACUCCAACUUGAAGCUCCAGAUAUUCCUCCCACCAAAGAGGGCAUCUUUUUAAGUGGAUUUACCUUUUCAGCUCUAACCACUGCUGGUCCCCCUCGCCUUUAGCUAUGUUUCACCAGCAGGAUUAGGCUUUGCAUGAUCUGCCCUUAGCAAUGUCCUGGGAGCUCAUAUCAUGCACCGGACCCUGUUUCCCCACUUCCAAACACCUUCUCCUUCCUUUUCAGUAUGUCCCCCUGCUGCCAAAAGUAACUGAACCCUGGAUCUUCAAUUCUUUUUAUGCCUUUGCCCUACUGAAGCACUGCAAAAUGUUACUCGGAACUGAACCUUCCUCUCAAAGCCACACCACACAGCGUAAGCUCCUGCAGUCAGAAGUCUCCUGACAUCUCCUCGAUGUUCAAUCUAUUGAUAGAAGAUAUUCUGUCAUGAUACUUUUUUCACAAGCUAUGUAUUUGCUCUUGCUAGGGCUUCUCAAAUCAAACUGACGUGUCAGGGCUCCUGGCUUAUGCCAGCACAACAAGGUUUCUUGAGAGUAAAUCACUGCAUUUGCAAGGCUGGAGCUGGGAGCUGGAUUUCUGCUUCUGGGGACCAGCCUGCAGAGAAAAGCUCAUCCAGGCCAUGCAAAGAUGCAAAAGAAUACAGAUCUAGGGUGAAUUUGGGGAGAAAAGUAGCAACUGCAUCCACAGUGGGUUGCAUUAAAGCUUGCAGAGGUGAAGGAAGGACCCAAAGUAAAUGAGUCCACCUGGGAUAAUCAGGAAUAGCUCUUCUGGCCAGAGCAAAGCCUGAGGAGCAGUGCUGAGGGGAAUGAAAGACAAACUGCUUUUUCCUCAUGCCCUCCCUCUUGUUAUUAUCUACACAUAAAUUAUUCACAUUCUUUGCAGGUUGAGUCUUGUCUUGACUGAAGGGGUUCAGAUCAUUAGAAACACAACAAUUCUCUGCAUAGUUCAUGACAAAAGAAGCUCCAACAGGGUAGCAGGUUAGAAGCACGGGGAAAAGGGACAGAAUUCCUUCUGCUGCCAUUUCUGCUCCGAAGAGCUUCCUGAGGUCUCUGGCCUCCUGAUACCAGAGACUCCUGGAUACUCAGCAAGAAAAAAGCCACAGCAUGGAGAAGAUGGAAGGACCUCUCAGAUAGGCCAGAGAAUCCAUUGUGAGUAAGAGUGGGAUGCGUUUGGGGAGUAUCACCCCAGGGGGAGAGGUUAGAGACGCUGUGCACAGCCUCCCCUUGUGCCCUGCACAGCUUUCAAGGUAGAUUUCAUUCUGUCCAUUUAAGAAAUGAAUGUGCCUUUAAAAGUUUCCAGUAAAGAGCUAUCUCAGAGCAAACAUGAUCCAGCCCAGAACUGCUGUUUCAGCAUUACCUGAAUGCUCAAGGUCACUGCAGUUUGCUGCUUUUUCAGCGCCAGAGUGGCAUUUCGCCAUCAGCAUUUCCAUGAAAUGGGUCAUUUUUGAUGAAUUCUCAGGUUUGGAUGGCAAGAGAGGAGGAGCACUGGAUGGUUUCCAAGCAGUUCCAUUACAGAUGCCAGUGUUUGGCAUGGGGCCUCUCUCACCCUGCUUCAUCGAUCACCAAGACAUGACCUCAAAGGGUUGGGUCUGCCCAGUGAUGGGGUCUGGAUGAGCAUCCCCAUGCUUCCUCUGUGGGCAUCUCCACUGUAGCUCCCCUAGUUCAAGAAGAAAUACCCUCUUUAAGAGGGGCAGGCAGAGCCAUGGCUCAGCUAAUAGGAAAGGAAGUUUCUAGAAGCGAUUGGAGUUGGUGGGCCCCACAUCACACUUCAGUCCCACAAGCUGGCAGUGAACAAGUCAGUUCAGUGCUGGAAUGAGGCUUCCACCUCAUCCCAGGGCCAUCAGGGUCGUGCUGGAAGGCGAUGCAGGGAAGCAGCUCUCAUAAGCUGCAGUGCAGGUCCUUCAGCUGAUGAAGACAAGGCUCCUCCAGCUCCAGCUCAUGCUGGAAGUCAGCCUUUCUCUUCCCUAACAUAUGCUUGGGAUGCCUACUGGGACACAUGGCUGCCUGCUGGAGCUGAAACUGUGGGGAGAAUGUCCUGCUGACACAAGAGCUAAUGAAAUAUUUGCACUAUACUAUCCCUGUGUGCUAUUAUAUAUGUAUAAAUGUAUAUAUAUAAUGUAUGUAUAAUGUAGAUAUGUAUAAAAAUCAGGACACAAAUUGAAUAUAAACAUAUGUGUGUGUGUGUGUGUAUAUAUAUAAGCAUACCAAGAAUUUACUUGCAAGUAAUUAUGAAUGAGGAACUUGCACACUGCCAUGGUCUCAGCAGGCACAGCUCCCCCCUUCUCCCUCCCAUCUUCCUGCAUCACUGUCUGUUAUCUAGCUAAAAAUAAAGGAGUGUUGGGCACCCAUGUGUCCCAUGGGUGACCACACGAUAAACAUCAAGCCUUGGUGCUAGCAAUCCAUAAACGGGUGGGGAGCAGCAGCCAGCAUCUCUCUGUGCAGUUGUUGCCUCAAGAGGUACCCAGGCUCCAGCCCUGCAGUGCAGCAAGGAGGUGGGGAAUGAGGAUGCUGCUCAUGGACCCCAGUCCCACUCCUCCCAGGCUUUCCCUCAUCCAGAGCUAAGGCAGUUUUUAGCUUCAAGUGAGCCAUUAGAGGCUCUCUCAGCCCAGAGCAUCCUCAGAGGUUGUAAACCCUCCGGCCACAGUGAUAAAAACCCAGCAGGGCUCUUUUUCCCAAUCCAGCCCCUUUCCAUGACCUCUCGAUGGGAUUACGGCCUCCUCAUGCUCCACUGCUCUCUUCAAACACAUUGUCACACCAGGACUUACCCACCUGCAAUCACGCUUCAGUGCCCAUUCCCCCCCAGCGGUUACCAGGGACGCGGAGCAGCCAGGCUGAACAGAAGUGCUGAUGCUGAGGUUUUACAAUGAGUUUGAGCCCCACCACCUCCUGCUUUGCUCUCAUUCAAUUGCACAGGGGGGUGGCACAGGUUAGGGUCCCAGAUGGGUUAUUUAUCCUGCAGCUGAUGAGGGACAAAUCACUGUGGGACUCUUUACAUCACACUCUUAUGAUGGAAAGAGGAAGAUGGGCAGCAGCUGGGAGAGGCUCAGCUUCAGUGCCACAAGCUGAAGGCAAAACUGGCAGGGGAUUAUCCUAAAUCAUCCCUAUCCCAUUCCCAAUUGGAGAUGCUCCAGGGCUGAUGGAAACGUAGGUGGUGGGUUGGCUUUUUGAGGGAGAUCUUUUUUCCCUUCUAAGCAAUCAGGUGGUUUCUAAGGCUGGGUUGGGAAGAGCGUGGUCCACCCUGGGAGGAUGUGGUGGGCAAGAAACCAUUGCAAAGCUACAGCAUUGCCAUUUCCCCUCCAGGCUGUGGAUGUUUUAAACAGGCAGCAGAAGCCAAAGUAUGGGGAAAUUGCCAAAGAGUUGAAAGGGCCCCCUUGUUAGUGUAAGCAGCAAGGGAGGGGGCUUUCCAAGAGCUAUUUAAACAUUAACCAGCACAACAAUUGCCCUGUGUUCCUAUUCCCAAUUACCACAAUGGUCUUUCACCUCUGCAGGGUCUUGAGCUGCCUCCGGCCCUGGCACAGUGCUAGGACAGUGACAGGAGCCUCCGUGCCACCUCCUCUGCCUGCAGGACUUCGUGACCACCCCUUUGGGUUGCCAAGAGCCUGAGGGCAUCUGAAGUGAUGUGAUGAGGGUUAGGUGGGAGCUGAUGGCACUGAGACGCAGCUUUGUGUCCUGCUCUCUUUCCAGCAGCAAAGUACAGGUUUGAAAGCAAUGCCAGGUGGGAUCAGGAGCUUUGGGUGUACUUUGUCUCUCCAGACACCAACUUCUGGGAAUACUGCAGCCCCAGCUCUGAGGUAUCACAAGAAACUGUCUGAGCUGACGGCAGCCCACUCCAGAGGCAGAAUGUGGGUACCAUUGGGCCGGAGUGAUAAAGGACAAUGAAGAUGAUGAUAAUGAUGGUGAUGACAAUGAUGAUGAUGAGUUGAUGAAGAGCUGGGUGAAACGAUCUGUACAUUCCAUUCCACAGUGCCUGACCCUCAUGCUGCAGCAUCUUUGCAAGCCAUCAGAUGUCCUUAGUCAAGGCUGUCAUGGAGGGAGGAUGAGGGUAUCAUAAGGACCAUGGGAUUAUGUCUGGUCACCCAUCAGCUGGGUGCAGCUCCAGCAUGAACACUUGGGAGAUUUAUAGGCUUCAUAAUUCACCUUCCACCAGUACUUUAAUGUAAUUGUUGGUUGUUUUGUGUUUUUUUGUAAGCUUUCCUCCUUUAAAUCUCACUCAAAGAUCUGCGGGAAGCAAACACAGGUUAAGCUGAAACAAACCGAAUGGUUUAUAGAGCAAAUAUUCCCAUGCUGGGCUCUCCAUAUUCCCAUGUGAUUGUAAACCAUCCUCAAUAAGACUGUGCUUGUGCUGAAGUG